GACGAACGCUUGCGGCGUGCUUAACACAUGCAAGUCGAACGGAAAGGCCCUGCUUUUGUGGGGUGCUCGAGUGGCGAACGGGUGAGUAACACGUGAGUAACCUGCCCUUGACUUUGGGAUAACUUCAGGAAACUGGGGCUAAUACCGGAUAGGAGCUCCUGCUGCAUGGUGGGGGUUGGAAAGUUUCGGCGGUUGGGGAUGGACUCGCGGCUUAUCAGCUUGUUGGUGGGGUAGUGGCUUACCAAGGCUUUGACGGGUAGCCGGCCUGAGAGGGUGACCGGCCACAUUGGGACUGAGAUACGGCCCAGACUCCUACGGGAGGCAGCAGUGGGGAAUAUUGCACAAUGGGCGGAAGCCUGAUGCAGCAACGCCGCGUGCGGGAUGACGGCCUUCGGGUUGUAAACCGCUUUCGCCUGUGACGAAGCGUGAGUGACGGUAAUGGGUAAAGAAGCACCGGCUAACUACGUGCCAGCAGCCGCGGUGAUACGUAGGGUGCGAGCGUUGUCCGGAUUUAUUGGGCGUAAAGGGCUCGUAGGUGGUUGAUCGCGUCGGAAGUGUAAUCUUGGGGCUUAACCCUGAGCGUGCUUUCGAUACGGGUUGACUUGAGGAAGGUAGGGGAGAAUGGAAUUCCUGGUGGAGCGGUGGAAUGCGCAGAUAUCAGGAGGAACACCAGUGGCGAAGGGGGUUCUCUGGGCCUUUCCUGACGCUGAGGGGCGAAAGCGUGGGGAGCGAACAGGCUUAGAUACCCUGGUAGUCCACGCUGUAAACGGUGGGUACAAGGUGUGGGGUCCAUUCCACGGGUUCCGUGCCGUAGCUAACGCUUUAAGUACCCCGCCUGGGGAGUACGGCCGCAAGGCUAAAACUCAAAGGAAUUGACGGGGCCCCGCACAAGCGGCGGAGCAUGCGGAUUAAUUCGAUGCAACGCGUAGAACCUUACCUGGGUUUGACAUGGAUCGGGAGUGCUCAGAGAUGGGUGUGCCUCUUUUGGGGUCGGUUCACAGGUGGUGCAUGGCUGUCGUCAGCUCGUGUCGUGAGAUGUUGGGUUAAGUCCCGCAACGAGCGCAACCCUUGUUCACUGUUGCCAGCACGUUAUGGUGGGGACUCAGUGGAGACCGCCGGGGUCAACUCGGAGGAAGGUGGGGAUGACGUCAAGUCAUCAUGCCCCUUAUGUCCAGGGCUUCACGCAUGCUACAAUGGCUGGUACAGAGAGUGGCGAGCCUGUGAGGGUGAGCGAAUCUCGGAAAGCCGGUCUCAGUUCGGAUUGGGGUCUGCAACUCGACCUCAUGAAGUCGGAGUCGCUAGUAAUCGCAGAUCAGCAACGCUGCGGUGAAUACGUUCCCGGGGCU
rnacentral:rRNA from 1 species